CUAUGAGGUAGAUGCAUAUUCAGCCUUAUCAACAAAGAUUGACUCACUAUUUCAUAAGGUGGAAAGCAUAUCACAGUCAGUGAAUGCAACAUAUGCAUGGAAACCAAAUUGUGAAGAAUGUGGAGCAAAUCAUAGUAUGGCGGAAUGUCCAAUUCUAUCACAGGAAAUGGAACAAAUAGAGUACGCACAAUGGGGUCAACAUCAACAGAACUAUCAAAAUUCAGACACUUACAAUCCCAGUUAGAAAGAACAUCCAAAUUUCUCAUGGGAUGGUAUCUAAAAUCAGAAUAGAUCCCAGAGACAAUUUUAGCAGGAGAAGACAUUUCAAUUAGAAGAGAUGUCUGCAAAGUUCAUGGAAAAGACAAAAAAAUACAUGGAAGCAAAUAACCAGUUCAUAAGGAAAACUAAAAUUACUCUCCAAAAUCAGGGUGCCGCAAUUAAGAACUUGGAGACGCAGAUGCGACAGAUGGCAUUCACUAUGACGAGAAGGACACCAGAUACUUUACCAAGCAAUACUGAAUUGAAUCCCAGGGAGCAUUUUCAAGUGAUCACAACUCGAAGUGGGAUGCAACUACCCGAAAGAUAUGUUGAGAGGCCGAGUGUAAACAAUUAGACAACACGCUAUACAAAAAUAGAGAUUGUACAGCAAGACGAGCAAACACAUGAAUCCACAAAGGAGAGUUCAGAGAUGUCACGGGAUAAGGCCACCAGUCCAGUUGACCCCUAUGAGCCACCCAUUCCAUUUUUCCAGAGGUUGAGGAAACACAAGAUAGAGCAGCAAUAUAAGAAGUUCUUCGAAAUCUUUAAAAAGCUCCACAUCAACAUCCUGUUUGUCGAUGCACUACUCCAGAUGCCCAGCUAUGCCA
rnacentral:lncRNA from 1 species